rnacentral:rRNA from 1 species
AUGGCUGCAUCCGGGACGAGCAGCAUGGCCGUGGCAAUGGCGGCGGUCGUGGCCGUGGUCCUGUGCGCGGGCGUGCGGCCGGCGGAGGCGUGCAACGGCCACCCGUGCCCGUCGCCGGCGGGCAAUUGCCCCGUGAACGCGGUGAAGCUGGCGGUGUGCGCGGACGUGCUGGACGGGCUGAUCCACGUGGUGGUGGGGCAGUCGCCGCCCAAGCAGCCGUGCUGCUCCCUCAUCUCCGACCUGGUGGACCUGGACGCCGCCGCCUGCGUCUGCCUCGCCAUCAACGCCAACGUCCUCGGCAUCAACCUCGACGUCGACGUCGACCUCACGCUGCUGCUCAACUACUGCGGAUGCAAGGUGCCCAAGGGCUUCCGCUGCGCUUGA